AGCUUUGCACAGUGGCAGUAUCAUAGCCAAUGAGGUUUAUCAGAGGUACGAUUAUUGCUAAUUGAAAACUUUUCCCAAUACCCCUCCAUGACAACUUGAAACAUAGUCGGCAUUGGCAAUUUUUGACAGUCCCUAUGGAAACUGGGA
ensembl:snRNA U4 U4 spliceosomal RNA